UACGAAGGGGGCUAGCGUUGCUCGGAAUCACUGGGCGUAAAGCGCACGUAGGCGGUUCUUUAAGUCAGGGGUGAAAUCCUGGAGCUCAACUCCAGAACUGCCUUUGAUACUGGGGAUCUCGAGUCCGGAAGAGGCGAGUGGAACUCCUGGUGUAGCGGUGGAAUGCGCAGAUAUCAGGAAGAACACCAACGGCGAAGGCAGCUCGCUGGGAAGGUACUGACGCUGAGACGCGAAAGCGUGGGGAGCGAACAGG
rnacentral:rRNA from 1 species